rnacentral:rRNA from 1 species
GCACAAGCGGUGGAUGAUGUGGAUUAAUUCGAUGCAACGACGAAAACCUUACCUACCUUGACAUGUCCGGAAUCCCGAAGAGAUUUGGGAGUGCUCGCAAGAGAGCCGGAACAUAGGUGCUGCAUGGCUGUCGUCAGCUCGUGUCGUGAGAUGUUGGGUUAAGUCCCGCAACGAGCGCAACCCUUGUCAUUAGUUGCCAUCAUUUGGUUGGGCACUCUAAUGAGACUGCCGGUGACAAACCGGAGGAAGGUGGGGAUGACGUCAAGUCCUCAUGGCCCUUAUGGGUAGGGCUUCACACGUCAUACAAUGGUCGGUACAGAGGGUUGCCAACCCGCGAGGGGGAGCUAAUCCCACAAAGCCGAUCGUAGUCCGGAUCGCAGUCUGCAACUCGACUGCGUGAAGUCGGAAUCGCUAGUAAUCGUGGAUCAGCAUGCCACGGUGAAUACGUUCCCGGGUCUU